AAGUGUAAUUUUACGAAUAAAUACCCUAGGUAUAAAUUAGAAAUUUUAUUCUUUCCCUUCUUUUCUGAAUAGAGUUCCUGUUCGCAGAAUUCCAGAGAACGUAAGGUUGGAGUCAGAUUUCAGGGUUGAAGAACAGAUCUCUAUAGGUGAAGAGUAGAUUAUAUUUUUUCAGAAUUAUUCUUCUCCCAAGCUUUCAAGGACUUCUUUUGAGGUACUCUUAGUUCGGGUGAGGAGUGAUGGCUAGGCUGAGGAAUGGUCAUCAUUAGGAUUUGACUUAGGAUUUUAUGUUGGAUUUUGUUUAACUAUUAGUUAUGUUAUUUUGGAUCAUUUGGUAUUUGGAAGUUAUUUGGAAAUUGAAUUUUGAGGAUUUUAGAUUUUGUUUCCGCUA